AUCUUUUAGGUAGAGAUGUUA
rnacentral:siRNA from 1 species